rnacentral:rRNA from 4 species
UUCGGUCUCUUUAGCGGAGUGGUACUACCUUUUCCCAUUCCGAACAGAGUCGUCAAACACUCCAGCGCCGACGAUAGUAACACCGCAAGGUAUCGCGAAAAUAGGUCGAGGCCGGAG